GCCGGGAUGGCGGAAUUGGUAGACGCGCUGGUCUUAGGAACCAGUGGGGCACCCCCCCGUGGAGGUUCGAGUCCUCUUCCCGGCACCA
rnacentral:tRNA from 1 species